CCUCCGCCCUCCUUGGACGGGGCAGCGGGCUGUCGCCGGGAGGGACCGGACGAGGACGGCGAAGCCCCCGGCCAAAGGAGGGGCUGCGCCGAGGGCGGCUGCCGGGCGGCCCGAAGGCGUGCGCCGGGGAGGGGCCGCGGGCCGCGGGGGAUACGGCCGGCCCCCAGCCCGCGGCUUCGCGAUCCUCACCUGAAGAUGUGUUUAUUGAUUUGAGAGAGAGAGGAAGGGGGUGAGAGAGAAACAUCAAUCAGUUGCUGUGUACCCACCCCAACCAGGGACCCAACCCACAAACUUUUGGUGUACAGGACAGUGCUCCAACCCACUGAGCCACCCGGGCAGCGCACGCAGGUUAGAUUACAAAGAGAACAUGGUCCCCAUCCCACAUACCCUCUCUUGCUCUCUCACGGGCUCCCUAGAUGGAAGCCCCGCUAGUAUGACGUGAGCUGCCCUAUGCAGAGGCCCGUGUGGCAAGGGACAGUGGAGGCUUCCAUUCAAGAGCCAGAAACCAACUGGGGCCUUUAGUCCACCAGCCCACAAGGAACCAAGUCCAGCCAACAACCCCGUGAGUAAGCUUGGAGGUGGGGCGUCCCUCGAUGAGGCCUGUUAGAUGAGACCUGUUACACACUGAAUGUUUGAAUCUCCCCCAAAAGUCGUAUAAUGAAGCCACGACCCCCAAGGUGAUGGCAUUAGGGUCUUUGCAAAGUAAUCAGGUUUAAAUGUGGUCUUGAGUGUAGGGUCCCAUGACGAUACUAGUGCCCUCACAAGAAGAGAAGGAGACCCCAACGCCCGUGCCCUCUCUGCCACGUGAGGGCACUACGAGAGGGUGGGCAUCUGCAAGCCAGGAAGACAGCACUCGCCCUGAACUAAGUUGGCUGGCACGUUGAUCUUGGACUUCCCAGCCUCCAGGACUGUGAUACAUGUCUGUCGUUUAAGCUGCCUGCCCGACGCUGUUUUGUUAUGGUGGCCUGAGCUGACUAAAGCAGGACCAUGGGCCAGCUGACAACUUCGUCACGGACUUGGAGAGACCUUGGGGCAGAAGGACCCAGCUAAGCAGACAGAGCCCUGGAACCCUAACCCACAGAACACUGUGAAAUAACAGCGGGUUGUUGUUUAAAGCCAUUAAGUUUUGGGGUAACUUAUACAGCAGUAGCCAGCUUUCAUGCAAUGACAGAGCUCAGACAGUCACCUGGAGAGGCCCACAUGAGGGAAAUUCAAGCCCCAGCCCUCCCACCCCACUCCCACAGCCUCAUUGCCCGCCACAGCCCGCGCCCGCAGCCCACCUGCGAGGGAGCCAUCCUGAUGCAGACCCCCCACAAGGAGCCACGCCAGAUGACACCGCAUGGAGCAGAGACAAGCCCUCUUCUCUGAGCACUGCCCAGACUGUAAAUACACUUGUAAGCAAAUAAAUGGUUAUUGUUUUCGGCCACUA